GUCCCCAGAACUGGAUGUAAUACUAAUCCAGGCGGGGUCUUGUGAGAGCAGAGUAGAGGGGCAGAAUCCCCUCCCUCAACCUGCUGGUCACACUUCUCUUGAUGCAACCCAGGAUACAGUUGGCCUUCUGGGCUGCAAGUGCACAUUUCCAGCUCAUGUUGAAUCUUUCAUCAACUGACACUCCCAAAUCCUUCUCCUCAGGGCUGACCUCAGACGAUUCUCCACCCAACCUGUGCUUGGGACUGCAAGAAGAUUUAGUUGUUACUACUAUAUCAUUAUCUCCAAUUAUUCUCAGUUUUACCUGGAGGCAGUGUACUGCAAUGGAACCAAAAGGACACACCCUGCACUGGCAUACAGCCACAGUGCAGGCAGAAGGGGUGGCAUGGGGUGCCAUACCACCUGUCCUCCCCCUUGAAGGGCCCUGAAGAAAACUGAGGAAAACAUUUGAUUUCUUUUAAUUCUCUGGAUCUUAGAUUGCUUUUUCUCUGCACAGAGUGGCAAAGAAGAAAAGCAAACUUUUGCUGUACCAGAACAGCAUCAGCACUGAAAUCCUUUUGCGCAGGCACUGUGGGGACUCCUCACUCAGGGAGCUGCACAUCACCUCCAGCAGCUCCUCCUGCUCUUCCUGUUGGACAAUGUUUUCUUCAUUUCCCAAGCUUCUCUCUACUCAAGCCAUUCUCAGAUUGCUUCAGAUAAGCCUUUCCAUGGGCCUGUUUCUAGAACUGUCUGCCUGGACAUCCACCUCCUUCACCCUAUUCUUUUCCAUCAUUUAGUUCCUUGGCUCCUGUCCUGUUUCAGCUGGUUGAUUUUUUUUUUUUUUUUACCCACGUUGUCUGAUACGAUACUACAUUUUGGAUUUAGGAUAAAAGCAGUGUUAAUAACACACCAAUGUUUUAGUUGUUGCUCUACAGAGCCAAGGACUUUUCAGGUUCUCAUACUGUCCUGCCAGCAAGCCACAAGGAGCUGGGAGGGGACACUGGCAGGAGAGCUGACCUAAUUUGCCCAAAGGGAUAUUCCAUACCUUGUGACACCAUGGAGACAGGAGCUGGCCAGGGGAGGCAGACACUGCUCAGGGCAUCAGUCAGCAAUUGCAUUAUGCAUCACUUAUUUUACAAAUAUACGUUAUUAUCAGUACUAUUUUCCUUUUCUCUUCCUUUUUGGUCUUAGUAAGUAAUUUUUUUUAAUUUGAACACAAGUGCACAGCUGUGUAGUGCUCUGCUGUUGGCAGAUUUCAACCAGCACAGCUACAAAACCCAAGGCAUGGAACAUCAGCUGAGAGUUGGUACUGAACUCCCCCCAGUGGGAUCAGACGAGCUCCUCGGAGCAGGAGCUGCAGACCAAUAGCAGUACACAGCCACAGAACAGGGCAGCCCUGGCUGUUGAAUGUUGAUCUCCAUAGGGCUGACAGCAUCAGCUGGGAUUAAGUUGGUUCUUUUGGCUCUCUCAAAAAAUUCUCCUCAACUUUCUACUUUCCUACUUUCUACUCUCCUUCCUACUUUCUUUUCUGUGUACGGUCAGCUCUUAUUCCUCUUUUCUACCACAACCCUUUGCACACACACAAAAAAAUAGUAUCCCAAGCAUAACUGGAUGCUUCUACUUCAGAAAUGAGAGUAAGAGGAUUCAGUUCAGAAAAUACACUUUCGAGGAGGCUGUAUGUCAAAGCCUCCCAAGUAUAACACUAUUGCCUUGUCCAUGAACAAGCAAUGGAGUGAAGUCUGUCAGAAUAAAAGAAUAUGGGAAGUUAGAGGGGAUGGGCAGCACAGACAGGCUGGUGUUUUUUCUUGUUUGUUAAAAGAUGUCAAGAUCUCAAGAACUGCUUUCCUUGGGGAAGCAGGCAGAACAGAGACAUACAGCUCAGCCUCCCAUAUCCCACCUGAGUUCCUGAGCCUGUGCUGCAGAUUCACCUCCACUGUCCAUGGGCAAAUCCCAGUCUGGAUCCAACUGCAGUUCCCAACAGCUCAUUCAAGUAGAGAAUAUUUCCACAAAAGGGUUUUGUUUUCACUAAAAUGUGAAGUACUUGUCUAUGCCUGAAACCUGUGUGUUACUAUUAAAACUGGUUGUAAAUUUAAAAUACAAUUAAAAAAAAUCCAAAAUAAAAUGAUUUUUUGAAAACUUCUGUUCUAUUUGAGCACGUUUCCCAGAAUGAGGUCGUGUAUAGGUUAAGUCCUAGAAGACAAUUAACAAAAACGUCCAUGUUCCUGCUUGAAAUAAAAUGAAUCUUUCUUCCCUUGCACAUCUCUUCUGAUGUCUCAGUCCAAAUUCAGACAUUAAAAACCACCCUGGAAAGCUAAGACAGACAACCUCACCCUGCUGGUGAUGGCUAUAUACAUUCACCUUUAUUUCAGGUGAAUCUGAACUGAAAUGGAUCCAGACUUGUGGAGUUCCUUAGAAGUUCAGGAAGGGAUGCAGCGGGAGGGGAGCACUUCAAGGACACACGAGUCCAUCCCUAACACCUGCCCUACCAGGAUUUUGCUCUCUGUAAACCUCAGAGCACAUAAUCCAUGACUCUUUUAAAGUUAAGUGACAGACUGCAACCUGAAGCGCAAGCAAUGUGUUUGAGAUAUUUUCAGACAUUGUUCCAGCCUGAAAAUGUACUCAAAGAACCCAAAUGCAGGUAUACAUAUUUUGAAGCCCUAACUAAUACACUUCAUUUCCCACGUCAUCAUUUUCAUAAAUGUGUUCUAUUGUAUGUACCCAAACCAUUAGAUUUGCCCCUCAAAGCCUUUAAAUCUACUCAGCCCCAGACUCUGAGCUGGACCCUUUUUUUUUUGUUUACUGCCAAGAAUCUGAAGUUUCUUUUCCAGCUGCCAGUGACUACUUCGUUCCAGUACACAAAGAUGAAAAUCCUUGCUGUUCUCCAUUCAGAUUUGUCCUUGAAAAUUCUUUGUAGACUUCAGAGGAAAACUUUCCAUUCAGUUUGUAUCUGGAGUUUCCUGGACUGUACAGGCCCAGGCUGCAGUCGGUUCCACAGCUCUAACCGGCUCUGAGCUGGAGAGCAACAAAGCCUCACUGAGGAGCAUUUAGACAAACAGGCACACAGCUCUGCAGAAAAGACAAACAUUGGGUAAACCAUAGGUAAGAACACAUUGGCAGAAUAAAGCUUGCCACUGGAAAGAGCAGAAAAGAGAUUCGCAUCAGCAAUAGGGUUCAACUCCCACCAAGUAUCCUUGGUUUGGAUACUUGCUAAAGCUUUCAGAUAGUGUGCAAACUUCAGCAAGAACUAUCAUAAAAUAAGGCUGAUGUUUAAACAGCAAAGCAAGAGCUGAG
ensembl:lncRNA